UACGUAGGUGGCAAGCGUUGUCCGGAAUUAUUGGGCGUAAAGCGCGCGCAGGUGGUUCUUUAAGUCUGAUGUGAAAGCCCACGGCUCAACCGUGGAGGGUCAUUGGAAACUGGGGAACUUGAGUGCAGAAGAGGAAAGUGGAAUUCCAAGUGUAGCGGUGAAAUGCGUAGAGAUCGGGAGGAACACCAGUGGCGAAGGCGGCUCGCUGGGCCGGUCCUGACGCUGAGACGCGAAGGCGUGGGGAGCGAACGGG
rnacentral:rRNA from 1 species